CGAGGAGUUAUUACCAGAUUUCAGAGGAUACCUCGAGAUGAAAAUGAGGAGGCAGACCUGCUUAGUCGACUGACCAAAGAAGAGUUAGAGCAGCUCCCUGAUGAAGUAUACAUACAGCAUGUCAGCACACCUGCUUUCAAGAAGACAAACACAGUACUGCAGGUGGAACAGAGCCCAACUUGGAUGACUCCAUACCUGAGAUACUU
rnacentral:lncRNA from 1 species